UACGUAGGUGGCGAGCGUUUGUCCGGAUUUAUUGGGUUUAAAGGGUGCGUAGGCGGCUUUGUAAGUCAGUGGUGAAAUACUCCAGCUUAACUGGAGGGGUGCCAUUGAUACUGCGGAGCUUGAGUACAGAUGAGGUAGGCGGAAUUGACGGUGUAGCGGUGAAAUGCAUAGAUAUCGUCAAGAACACCGAUAGCGAAGGCAGCUUACUGGGCUGUAACUGACGCUGAUGCACGAAAGUGUGGGGGAUCAAAACAGG
rnacentral:rRNA from 1 species